rnacentral:rRNA from 1 species
GCACAAGCGGUGGAGCAUGUGGUUUAAUUCGACGCAACGCGCAGAACCUUACCAGCCCUUGACAUGUCCAGGACCGGUCGCAGAGAUGUGACCUUCUCUUCGGAGCCUGGAACACAGGUGCUGCAUGGCUGUCGUCAGCUCGUGUCGUGAGAUGUUGGGUUAAGUCCCGCAACGAGCGCAACCCUCGCCCUUAGUUGCCAUCAUUCAGUUGGGCACUCCAGGGGGACUGCCGGUGAUAAGCCGGAGGAAGGUGGGGAUGACGUCAAGUCCUCAUGGCCCUUACAGGCUGGGCUACACACGUGCUACAAUGGCGGUGACAACGGGAGGCGAAGGGGCGACCCUUAGCAAAUCUCGAAAAGCCGUCUCAGUUCGGAUUGCACUCUGCAACUCGAGUGCAUGAAGUUGGAAUCGCUAGUAAUCGCGGAUCAGCACGCCGCGGUGAAUACGUUCCCGGGC